UUGAAUUUUAAUGAAGAGUUUGGUUGUAGCUGGCCCAUUCAUUUGGGCAUGUGCACACCUUCCUCUUUCAUCCCACACACACCUGUGAACCUGUGAGACAGAGAUGGGGAAUUUACUUGCUGCUUUUUGGAAUACAAAGGCAAUAGGUUAUUGGACCCCCCCUCUGUCUACUCAAUUAAUAUAAACUCAAUUUAUUUUAAAACGAAUGUAAUGGAUGUACAAUCUCAUAC
rnacentral:misc_RNA from 1 species